ensembl:rRNA 5S_rRNA 5S ribosomal RNA
GUCUCAGGCCAUGCCACCCUGAACAAGUCUAAUGUCUGGUCUCAGAAGCUAAGCAGGGUCGAGCCUGGUUAGUACUUGGAUGGGAGACUACCUAGGAAGACCAGGUGUGUUGUAGGCA